UACGAGAGGCCCAAACGUUAUUCGGAAUUACUGGGCUUAAAGAGUCCGUAGGCGGCGCGGAAAGUGGGGUGUGAAAGCCCUCGGCUCAACCGAGGAAUUGCGCUCCAAACUACCGUGCUUGAGGAACCUAGAGGUGAGCAGAACUGAUGGUGGAGCGGUGAAAUGCGUUGAUAUCAUCAGGAAUACCGGAGGCGAAGGCGGCUCACUGGGGGUUUUCUGACGCUGAGGGACGAAAGCCAGGUAGCGAACGGG
rnacentral:rRNA from 1 species